GUGAGGAAUAUUGGUCAAUGGGCGGGAGCCUGAACCAGCCAAGUCGCGUGAAGGAAGAAGGAUCUAUGGUUCGUAAACUUCUUUUGCAGGGGAAUAAAGUGCAGGACGUGUCCUGUUUUGUAUGUACCCUGAGAAUAAGGAUCGGCUAACUCCGUGCCAGCAGCCGCGGUAAUACGGAGGAUCCGAGCGUUAUCCGGAUUUAUUGGGUUUAAAGGGUGCGUAGGUGGUUUGAUAAGUCAGCGGUGAAAGUUUGCAGCUUAACUGUAAAAAUGCCGUUGAAACUGUCGGACUUGAGUGUAAAUGAGGUAGGCGGAAGGCGUGGUGAAGCGGUGAAAUGCAUAGAUAUCACGGAGAACUCCGAUUGCGAAGGCAGCUUACUAAGCUACAACUGACACUGAAGCACGAAAGCGUGGGGAGCAAACAGGAUUAGAUACCCGAGUAGUCC
rnacentral:rRNA from 1 species